UUCCGUUAAUUGAUUAUGACGUACUUGUACUGAUUGAGAUUUUAACACGAAGUGAGUGGCGAACGGGUGAGUAACACGUGGGUAACCUGCCCAGAAGUAGGGGAUAACACCUGGAAACAGAUGCUAAUACCGUAUAACAGAGAAAACCGCAUGGUUUUCUUUUAAAAGAUGGCUCUGCUAUCACUUCUGGAUGGACCCGCGGCGUAUUAGCUAGUUGGUGAGGUAAAGGCUCACCAAGGCAGUGAUACGUAGCCGACCUGAGAGGGUAAUCGGCCACAUUGGGACUGAGACACGGCCCAGACUCCUACGGGAGGCAGCAGUAGGGAAUCUUCCACAAUGGACGCAAGUCUGAUGGAGCAACGCCGCGUGAGUGAAGAAGGGUUUCGGCUCGUAAAGCUCUGUUGUUAAAGAAGAACGUGGGUAAGAGUAACUGUUUACCCAGUGACGGUAUUUAACCAGAAAGCCACGGCUAACUACGUGCCAGCAGCCGCGGUAAUACGUAGGUGGCAAGCGUUAUCCGGAUUUAUUGGGCGUAAAGCGAGCGCAGGCGGUCUUUUAAGUCUAAUGUGAAAGCCUUCGGCUCAACCGAAGAAGUGCAUUGGAAACUGGGAGACUUGAGUGCAGAAGAGGACAGUGGAACUCCAUGUGUAGCGGU
rnacentral:rRNA from 1 species